rnacentral:rRNA from 1 species
UGUGUAGGCGGAUGCCUAAGUGCUUUGUGAAAUCCCACGGCUUAACCGUGGAAUUGCUUGGCAUACUGGGUGUCUUGAGCCAUCUAGGGGCGAGCGGAACAGACGGUGGAGCGGUGAAAUGCGUAGAUAUCGUCUGGAACGCCAACGGUGAAAACAGCUCGCUGGGGAUGUGCUGACGCUGAGACACGAAAGCCAGGGGAGCAAACG